rnacentral:lncRNA from 1 species
UUUUUAAAACAGAAUAAUAAAGUACUAUCCCCACACAUAACUGUUUUAUCCAGGUCUUUAUAAUAAAAAGUUGGUAAAUUUAGAAAAUGUUAGUAUUGUCGCCGUUAUAAAACGAGAAACGGAAGUAUCGACAUAAAUCCUAGUCAGAUGACGGGAAGGAUAUUAUGAAUCUUUUUCUCUCCAAAACGAUUUCCCAGAUGCUCCUUGAAACAUAACAAUUAAACAUGACCAUGACAAACUACAUCGUGUAUGGUAGCUUCAGGAUAUAAUUCAUGCUGAUCAAUUUAGUAUCGUAUUUGGAGAAGCG